rnacentral:lncRNA from 1 species
AGCGUUGCGGAGUUUACCACAAGAGUGUGGGCUUACUAUAGGUGGGUGUGGGAGAGCGAGGGACUCAGCAUCAGCAACAGGCGAGAGAGACUGGCUAUAAAUUAUUAAGUCGAUCGUGGCAAUAGCACAAGUCAUAGCAGGAGCGACAGUCCUACUCUAAACAGGAAGGAGCUCUGCACGCGUAAAGAAAUUAUGUCAAGAACAAUACUGCUCUUCCUGUCAUGCGUAGUGCUGUGCUGUGUUUUCACAUCCGUUACGGCGAGAUAUUUGGACUGCACAAAGGAAUGUUACUAUAACCGUUACUCUACGUUAUGUGACUGCCCCUCUCCAAAGUUGCCUUUACGCUGGGGAAAGAGAGGGGUACGCGUUCCAUUCAGAUGGGGGAAAAGAUCUUUUGAUAACUACCAACCAGGAUCAUAUGGCGACAGCUGGUACGAUUCGGCACCAAUGGACCUCUCGGCGUAUUUUGAAGACAUCGCAUGAGGUCAUUGAAGGCCGUCGAUGCUCGUGUGCGGACAGCGAGGCGAGAGUGACAUAAAUAUUUAUUUUGUAAUAAACCUCCUAAACCAAGGACUACAACAUGACCUUAUGUCAAUACCGGGCAAGGUUUUAGUGGAGAGAAGUGGCGUGGAAAUGGCGUGCGUUCCUGUUUCUUGGACUAGACAAAACAAUAUCAGACUUUUAGCAACAUUUUACAAAAGCCAUUGAAACCAAUUCCAUACACAAGGGAUUUGUGAACGGAUCUUGCAAACUUCUUCGGCUGACUGCUGAACCAACACGAUGAACCUUUCUGUAAUCCAACAUGUGUGCAUUCCUCUACUCUGUCUUCAACCUCAUAUUAUUUUUCAUGUGAAAUGUUUAACCAAAAUGCGGCAUUAAAACCUUAUUUGUGUCUUCUAAACUUGAAUCACAAGAAGUAAUUUAUCCGUUGAAGUGAAUGACGCAUAGAAGGGCGGUGUAAAUAUUGUAUUUCGUUUCUGUACUGGCAAGCGACUAUCCACCAAAUUAUAAACAUAAACAGAAUACCUGAAGCAUUCACAGUUUGAUCUGAAAACAAAAAAAAUGAAGUUUUGUGCGAUAAAAUACCCAAAAGCUUAAAAUGUUAGAACAAAGUCCAUUUGAAAAUUGUAUGCAUACAGCGUCAAAUCUUAAAAUUAUAUCUACUGUCUACAUUUAUUGUGGUUUAAUCCCUGUUAUAUUCAAUACAAAGGAUUAUGAAUCGUGUCAUAUUAUAUUAAGCGAUUAAUAAUUAAUCUGUCACGAUAUCUGAUUAAUGGUGCUGAGUUUAUGAGUUUUUUUAAGACGUUUAUGAUAGAAUUAAUGUAUACAUUUUGUUAGUAUUGCAUGAUAAAGUCGUAUUACGGAACGGCGAAAACACAAAGACAGAAUACUGAUCACAUUCAGCUGUGUCGUCCAAUCUUAGACGUUCUCACUAAUCGUGAUGUACUCGUUUUCAAUAAUAGUUUUUCUCUGGCACGAUUCCAAUUAGGAUCGUGGUAGGCAUAAUUAUUCCGAAGGAUAUAAGCUCAUAUAUUCACCAUGGACACACGGGUAGUCAUAAGAUAUUAACUGUACCUGAUUCAAAUAAAACACGUGCUUGAUGAUAUUGACUCAUGGAAGUAUGCUACCUGUCAAUAUUCAUGUCAACUAAUUCAUAACGUGGAGGAUGCUGUAUUUGAAAAAUUAUAUGGUUGCUUCGGAGGA